GGGCCGUUAGCUCAGUCGGUAGAGCAACAGACUUUUAAUCUGUGGGUCGCUGGUUCGACUCCAGCACGGCUCACCA
rnacentral:tRNA from 1 species